GGAUCCCCCACCCCCGCACCUCGCCUCAUGCAGGAGCUGCUUCCUGACGUGGAGGCGAGUGGGCUCGGGGGCACCAGCGGUCAUUCAAAGGGUGUUGCCGGGGCCUGAGUCUCAGAGAUUUCCUGCUGAUGACUGACCCUAACUCAAAGCUGAUGGGGGAAGGAAGCCCAGAUGAUAGCAGAGGUAAUGAUUCAAUGUGCUACAGAACAGGGCUGAGUAGAGUCAGAAUGGACCUAGAAUGGCAAAUGGAGAAUAACCAUCCCAUCCCCGGAGUUUUGGGAGUCCAUUACAGUGUCUGGAGCAGUCAUCCUUAACCUUAUCUGUGGAUUAGAAUCAACUGGAGAGCUUCUGAAAUUCCUGAUGCCUAAAAUGCACUGUAAACCAAUUAAAUUGGAAUCUCUGUGUGGGUACCAGGCACAGUAUUUCUUAAAGGUCCCUGGCCCUGGCCAGUGUGGCUCAGUUCUUUGAGCAUCAUCCCAUGUACCCACUGAGAGGUCCACCAUUUGCUUUCCAGUCAGGGCACAU